rnacentral:rRNA from 1 species
UACGUAGGGUGCAAGCGUUAAUCGGAAUUACUGGGCGUAAAGCGUGCGCAGGCGGUGAUGUAAGACAGAUGUGAAAUCCCCGGGCUCAACCUGGGAACUGCAUUUGUGACUGCAUCGCUGGAGUGCGGCAGAGGGGGAUGGAAUUCCGCGUGUAGCAGUGAAAUGCGUAGAUAUGCGGAGGAACACCGAUGGCGAAGGCAAUCCCCUGGGCCUGACCUGACGCUGAGGAGCGAAAGCGUGGGGAGCGAACAGG